AAGGAGAGACAGGAGCCUUGAGGAGGAAGGCUCCAUGAAGAAGAAGGCUCCAUGAAGAAGAAGGCUCCAUGAAGAAGAAGGCUACUGAGGAGAGAGAAUCACUGCUGUGAGUGGUGGCAUUUGGAAGAAUAAAUGAAGUGUGACUCCCGGCAUCUCUUUAGUUGCCCUGAAAAUGGAAUGUCAAACAGCAUAUAAUCAUCUUCCUUGUUUAAAGAAAGAGGAGCAAAGAGUGGUGCAAAGGCCUGAGUUCCUUCAAAAUUAAAAAGCUGCAGCCCUCUUCAGUGUGAGCGUCACAUGCUUCAGUUUUGUAAUGAGAGUUUCUGCACUGUCCUAAUUAAUACAGUGUGCCUGUCCUGGACCUUUGAAGGAUGUGGGAGUAUCGGCACCUCCUACGUAACGCUCAUCAGCGUGCAGAAGUAAACUAGUCUGGUCACUUAUGGAGGCCCAUUUAAAACCAGGAGGAUUACUCAGGCUGUGAGCAUCCAGACAGAAUCAUCCACGCAGCUCAGCUGACACGUGGUAACCCAUUCCUCUGUGCGAGAAGAUGGACUCAUGUAUGGUAGCUACUUCUAUAUCAUCAUCUACAUCUUCAUCUGGACACACAGAGCAGAGCAGCUGAACACUGGUGGUGGCCGUGAUAAGUGGGAAGAAACAGUUCAGGCAGCUAGAACGGUGUAUCCCAGGCUUGGAUAAAAGUGUAGUAAAGCCUGAUGCUUUGAUGCUUCAGUUUGACUUUUUGCAUGAAUGUUAAGUAAGCCUUGGACUUAAAUAGCUGUUCAAAGCUCACAGAAAUUCCUUUUUCCUUACCAAAGCAUCAAUUAAAAAAAAGUGUACAAUG